rnacentral:rRNA from 1 species
UCCAUGGUCCUACCACUCUGAAGAAACUUGAUCUUGUCCAAUUUCUGAAGCUAAGCAGAUUUAAACAUGGUUUGCACUUGGAUGGGAAAUAGUGGACAUCAAGGACUACUGGAU